rnacentral:rRNA from 1 species
GUAGGGAAUAUUGGGCAAUGGUCGGAAGACUGACCCAGCCAUGCCGCGUGCAGGAAGACGGCCCUCUGGGUUGUAAACUGCUUUUAUCUGGGAAGAAAAAGGCCAUGCGUGGCAAAUUGCCGGUACCAGAUGAAUAAGCACCGGCUAACUCCGUGCCAGCAGCCGCGGUAAUACGGAGGGUGCGAGCGUUGUCCGGAUUUAUUGGGUUUAAAGGGUGCGUAGGCGGUUGAUUAAGUCAGCGGUGAAAGACUUCGGCUUAACCGGAGCAGUGCCGUUGAUACUGGUUGGCUUGAGUGUCGGAGGGGUACAUGGAAUUGAUGGUGUAGCGGUGAAAUGCAUAGAUACCAUCAGGAACACCGAUAGCGAAGGCAUUGUACUGGCCGACAACUGACGCUGAUGCACGAAAGUGUGGGGAUCGAACAGGAUUAGAAACCCUGGUAGUCC